UCAGCAGCCACUAAAACCCCCACAUUCCCUUUUUUCCCUUCAUAUAGCACACACACAAAACGGCGAGAGAGAGAGCAAAACAGAGGGGAAGAUGAGCGCACCGGAAAAGGAGGGCGUCGACGCCGUUCCUGCGCCGUUUCCGUCGUGUCGCGAGCAGAGAGAAAGAGAGGAGAUCCGAGAGGAGAGGAAGAGAAGCCGCGCCACCACACGCAUCGCCGAUGCUCCGUUGCCGCCAACUGUCGCCAUCACUGAGCCCGAGACGGGGAGAAGAGAACGCGAGGAGGAGCCGUUCGCCAUCGCAUCAACUACUACGCCAUUUUUCCAUCGGGAAUGCCACCAUGCUCGCCAUUGAAGACCCGCCUCCGUUCAGCCUUGUUCUACUCGCAUCUGGUCCGCCAUAAGGGGAAGCUCGCGAAAAGAGGAAGAAGCGCGAAGAAAAGGAACCCUGGGGCUGCCUCUGUUGUCGUCCGUGGGGCUGGGGGGAACCACCACUGCCGUUUUGUCACUGCUGCGGCUGUACUAUCGCCGCCGUCGCUGUUGGGUUGGCUAGAAGGAAAGAAUGACUGUGGUGGACGCUGGUGAUGUUGCAUUUGAGAGGGAGGGCUGGCUCCACCACCCUUGCUGCUAUUGAACCAUUGCUGGGGGCUGCCCGCCAUGCUUGGUCACCGAAAAACGACGCAGACAUCGUUGGAGUCAACCAUUGGAGCUGCAGCUGCGUUGUACUUAGGUCCUUUGGGUACAUGGAGCUGUGGUUGCGGUUGCCGCUGAGUGCGGGUUGAGAGAAAAGGGUUUUUUUGACGCGUUUGGUUUUGCGAGUUUCAACGAGCUGAGGUAGGGGCGAUUUCUUAAACUUAAUUCACUACUAAGAAUUGUUUUAAGUCGAUAUUAAUAGAACAAAUAUAUUUUUAUGAUUUUGCAAGUUUUAUGAAUUGAAUUGAGUUGCCUGGAAUGAAUAUAAAUGCUAGUUUGAAUGGUUUA